UGGAGGACUUCUCCGUGAGCCAGACCUCCCUGGAGGAGGUGUUCCUGCACUUCUCCGAGGACCAGGGAAAGGACGAGGCGGCCGAGGACCAGCAGGAGGAGACGGGUGUGGUCGUGGACCCCGCGCCGGGCCCACAGCGCCCUCAGCGCGUCAGCCGGUUCCUGGAGGACCCCGGCUCUGCGGAGACCGUGCUCUGAGUCCCCGCAGGCUGCGGGGCCGGCGGGAGGCCCUGGGCGUGGCUCGGAACGGGGGACCCCUGGGCGAGACUCGGGCAGGAAAUAAAGAGAGGCCGAAGGCCGAGGGCGACGCUG